AUUGAACGCUGGCGGCAUGCCUUACACAUGCAAGUCGAACGGCAGCACGGGAGCAAUCCUGGUGGCGAGUGGCGAACGGGUGAGUAAUAUAUCGGAACGUGCCCAGUCGUGGGGGAUAACGCAGCGAAAGCUUUGCUAAUACCGCAUACGAUCUACGGAUGAAAGCGGGGGAUCGCAAGACCUCGCGCGAUUGGAGCGGCCGAUAUCAGAUUAGGUAGUUGGUGGGGUAAAGGCCUACCAAGCCAACGAUCUGUAGCUGGUCUGAGAGGACGACCAGCCACACUGGGACUGAGACACGGCCCAGACUCCUACGGGAGGCUG
rnacentral:rRNA from 1 species